rnacentral:rRNA from 1 species
CAAGAGUACGUGAAACCGUUCAGGGGUAAACCUGAGAAACCCAAAAGAUCGAAUGGGGAGAUUCAUCGUCAGCUCAUUUUGUAUAUAUAUNAGUUAUGAUAUGGGUUACUACUUGUAGUAUUGCCUGUACAUUCUUGUAUAUUUAAUUGCAGAUUGUUGUCGGCGUGCACUUCUCCCCUAGUAGGACGUCGCGACCCGUUGAGUGUCGGUCUACGGCCCAAGUGGUAGCCUUUAAUUUUCUGAAUUAAAGACCCUUGGUGUUUCCUGGCUGGCUACUCGGCGGUAUUCGUACGGUAUUAAGCCGCAUUUAUGCGUUCAUAUCCGUCGCAAGCGCGGUCAAUUUUUAGUAGUACGGACCUAGUGCCGUCGCUAUAAUUGAUCAGCUGUUGGUUGUACGGUGUUCUAGAACUGGCUUUUAUACCGGUCAGCGAUGCUUCAGCUUUGGGUACUUUCAGGACCCGUCUUGAAACACGGACCAAGUCU